UACGUAGGGUCCAAGCGUUAUCCGGAAUCACUGGGCGUAAAGCGUGCGUAGGCGGUUUGUUAAGUGAGAUGUGAAAUCGUGUGGCUCAACCAUAUCGUUGUGUCUCAUACUGGCAAACUAGAGGAUAGCAGAGGCAAGUGGAAUUACGAGUGUAGCAGUGAAAUGCGUAGAGAUUCGUAGGAACACCAAUGGCGAAGGCAGCUUGCUGGGCUAUAUCUGACGCUCAGGCACGAAAGCGUGGGGAGCGAACAGG
rnacentral:rRNA from 1 species